rnacentral:misc_RNA from 1 species
CAACCAUCAAGCCCUAGGCUUGUGUUGGGGCACUGCGGCUGCCGCAGGCCCCCAAAAGCAGUGGCGGACUCGCUGUCAUACCGAGCGCAGUAGCACAUCUCGCUCAGGGCGUGGCGGCGGGCACUGGCCGUAAAACAUACCAAAACUCAAGG